UGGGGAAUAUUGCACAAUGGGCGAAAGCCUGAUGCAGCGACGCCGCGUGAGGGAUGACGGCCUUCGGGUUGUAAACCUCUUUCAGCAGGGACGAAGCGCAAGUGACGGUACCUGCAGAAGAAGCACCGGCUAACUACGUGCCAGCAGCCGCGGUAAUACGUAGGGUGCAAGCGUUGUCCGGAAUUACUGGGCGUAAAGAGUUCGUAGGCGGUUUGUCGCGUCGUUUGUGAAAACCAGCAGCUCAACUGCUGGCUUGCAGGCGAUACGGGCAGACUUGAGUACUGCAGGGGAGACUGGAAGUCCUGGUGUAGCGGUGAAAUGCGCAGAUAUCAGGAUGAACACCGGUGGCGAAGGCGGGUCUCUGGGCAGUAACUGUCGCUGAGGAACGAAAGCGUGGGUAGCGAACAGG
rnacentral:rRNA from 1 species